CGCUUUGCCCAACACUCUCAUGUAAAGCAUACCAAAAUUUCAUUUUUAGAUUUGAAAAUUUUUCAUUUCCAUUCCCUUUGAUUUUCUUUACGACUAAAGGUAGCCUAAAGGAAAAAAGCACGACAAAAUUUUGGUUUCGUUUUCUUCACCCAAUCUCUGAGUUGAACAAGAGUAACUUCGAUUAUGCAACUCAAGGACGAACUCCCAUCUUCAUCUUCCCAAUCUCCGACUGAAAGAUAAUAGAAAGUCUCUGCAACUCCAGAGCAAGGCCAAGACCAGAAUCAUGGAUAUAGUGAUUACCAAUAGAGACAGUUCAAUUGGUGUUGGAAGUAGUUCUGGAGGGAGGGAAGCAGUUAUGUGUUCAUUUAUCAUAAAUUAGAUGAUAUACUUUUUAAAUUGUUUUCUCUUAGAUGUGGUCUCAAUCAUUCUAUUAGCAUUGUGUAACUAAGUUAGAAUGCUACAUUUUUCUUAAAUCUGUAAUAUCUAUAUAUUGUUUUUGAAUACAUUGAAUUGAUCGAGACAUUUCACUGAAAAGCCAAAAUACCGAAAUUUUUCCCUUUAGGGGCCUAGACAGAAAUUGCCACUGAAAUGAAUUUUACCACCAAGGUUAAGACAAUCAGUGCUUGAAGAAUGUCUGAGGAAGAUCAUUUGGAGAACUAAAAAUGGGUUUUUCACUUCGCAUUUGUAAGAGUUUUGUAUUGGCAGCAAAUAGUGCUAUCUGUUGUAUUCGUGUUCAACCGCCUUUAUGGAAAAUGGAUGGAUUAAUCCAUACAGGGGGAGAAGAACAAAAGAGCAGUGAAGUUGUCGGCACAUUCUGUUAUUCGCUAAGGAGAGGCUUGAAUUGGGAUACUUUGAGCAGGAAGUUCGAUUCAACUGAGUUGAGCUGUUCAAUUGUUGAGAAAGUAUUGGUGGAAUUGAAGGAGCCAACCGAUGCAAAACGGGCUCUGAAUUUCUUCCAUUGGUCUGCUCGAAAAAAGAAUUUCAAGCAUGGGAUUCAUUCAUACUGCAUUACAAUUCAAAUAUUGGUUCGAGCCUCGAUGCUUAUCGAUGCACAAGCUCUGUUAGAAUCCAUUGUUAGAAAGAGUGCAGAAGAUGGCUUGUCAGGAUUACAGAUUGUAGAGUCUCUUCUAGCUACUUAUCAGAGUACUCAUUCUGGUCCAUUCCUGUUUGAUUUUGUGAUUCAAACUUAUUCCAGAUUGAGAAUGUUUGAAGUGGCUUUUGAUGUUUGUCGCUACUUGGAAGAAAAGGGAUUUUCAAUCAAUCUUACAAGUUUCAACACUUUGAUCCAUUUUGUCCAAAAAUCAGAUCAAACUCCAUUGGUAUGGGACAUAUAUGAGUACAUGGUUGGAAAGAGAACAUUCCCAAAUGAAAAUACAAUCAAGAUCCUGAUAAGUGCACUCUGCAAAGAAGGGAAGCUGUUGAAGUUUAUAGAAAUUUUGGAUAGAAUCCAUGGGAGUAGAUGCUCUCCUGGGGUGAUCGUUAAUACCUCUCUUGUCUAUAGGAUUUUUGCAGCGGGAAGAAUUGAAGAAGGAAUCUUGCUACUGAAGAGGAUGUUGCAAAAAAACAUGAUCCUUGAUGACGUAGCUUACUCUUUGGUCAUAUAUGCAAAGUGGAAAAUGGGAAACCUAGAAUCUAUACAGGAGCCGUUUGAGGAAAUGCUCAAGAGGGGUUUCCGUGUAAAUCCUUUCCUUUAUACUUUGCUCAUAGGUGCUCACUGUAAGGAGGGAAGGAUUGAUGAAGCAACACAGCUGAUGCAAGAAAUGAAAACUAUAGGGUUGAAGCCAUACAAUGAGACUUUUGAUUUCCUCAUCCAAGGAUGUAUGAAAGCAGGCAAACUGGAGCAAAGUUUAAGAUUCUUUCAAGAUAUGAUAAAAGGAGGAUUCUUGCCUAGUCUUGCUUCUUUCAAUGAAAUGGUGGAAAAGCUCUGUCAAACAGGGCAUGAGAAUCAGGCAAAUGCGAUCUUGACUGAUGUGUUAGAUAGAGGCUUUCUUCCUGAUGAGCUCACAUAUUCUCAUCUUAUUGAUGGGUUUGGCAAACAGGGUAAAUUCCAAGAAGUUCGGAAGUUGUAUUAUGAGAUGGAAUAUAGGGCCCUGUCACCUGGUUUAAAUGCUUCUGCAUCUUUGAUUAGAAGCCUAUGCCAAAGUGGGAAGUUGACAGAAGCAGAGAAAUAUCUGGCUGUCAUGGAUGGCAGGUCAUUCAUUCCAACUGUCGAUAUGUUUGAAACAGUGAUCAGUGGCUACUGUGAGAAGGGUGACGUUAAAAGGGCUCUUCACCUUUACAAUGAGAUGCUAAGGAAAGAUUUGAAGCCUAGGAAUCAUAUUUCUGAGCUGUUGACAGAAAAAAUUAGUAAUGCUAGUGCCAUAGAGAAAGGCAAACAUGGAAAUGGGUAGCCUGAUGAGCUGUAAAUCAACUAUAUAGCAUAUAUGGAUUCAUCGUGGAAUUUUUUCUCGUUUCUGAAUGCAGUAAGGCCUUGUGGGAUCAAAACAGUUAUCAAGAAUUAUGGAUAGAUAUGAUUGGUUUUCUCUACUCCACUUUUCAGGAUGGACCCUGGAAGUGGAUGCUAAAGAAUUUGUAACCAAAACCACCCUCAAGACCCAGUCUAGAAGCACAAUUCAAUUGAAACUGCAUAAAGACUUCAAAGUCAAGACAUUCCAUUCCGUACACAAGAUUCAGUUUUGUGCUAUAUAGACAUCAAAGUGGGGUCUAUUAAUGCCGUCCAAUUGUGCGCAGGCUCAACUUUGCAGAAGAUACUUAAGAGCGCCACAUAUGAAAGAGCUGGAGAGAUAAUCUGUUACUUCCGUGGUGAAGAGCCUGGAUAUGAACUUUCUGAAUCAGAUCUGAUCAAAUGUCAGUGGAAUGUCCUUCCACCCAACUUGGUAAAUGCCAAUGUUUAUUUGUCCAUUAAAUUUAUGACGAUAUGACUUAAGUUUCAAGGGAAGUGCUGCAGUUUUGCUGUUUGCAGCUUGCACCGCACAACUCACAAGGUGCGCAAGUUGGUCUCCAUAAACUCCAUUCCCAAGUAAGAACAACACUUUCCCGCUUCACAUGCUAUCAAAGUACUUUGGGCUCUUGUUUUCAUAAAGUACUUUGGGCUCUUGUUUUCAUAGGUGCCCCAAAUCUCCAAAGGUACCAUGUGUUUGGGUUCAAAAUGCAACUAUUCUAAAUGGUCCGAAUGAUUCAAUCGUUUGCAUUUAAGCAUUUCAACUAUUCAUUAUAAAGUGUAAUGUCUAGAAGUAGGUUCAGUAACAGCUGCUGUGUAUAAACAUCUUACUAAGAAGGUAAUAGAUAUUUCAACGCAUCACCAAACUGAA